rnacentral:rRNA from 1 species
UCAUUAACGAAUAUAAUUCGAGGGGUUGUCGCUGGCCUCGCUCGCGCGAGGCAUGUGCACGCUUCUCGUUUUUCUCUCAACUCACCUGUGCACCUAAUGUAGGAUGCCUCUCCUCCGGGAGGGGGGACCUAUGUCUUCGUAACAUCUUCGUGUAGAAAGUCUUUGAAUGUUUACUAUCAUCGAGUCGCGACUUCUAGGAGACGCGGUUCUUUGAGAUAAAAGUUAUUACAACUUUCAGCAACGGAUCUCUUGGCUCUCGCAUCGAUGAAGAACGCAGCGAAAAGCGAUAUGUAAUGUGAAUUGCAGAUCUACAGUGAAUCAUCGAAUCUUUGAACGCACCUUGCGCUCCUCGGUGUUCCGAGGAGCAUGCCUGUUUGAGUGUCAGUAAAUUCUCAACCCCUCUCGAUUAGCUUCGAGAGGGCGCUUGGAUAGUGGAGGUUGCCGGAGACUUGGAUUCGUCCGAGACUCGGGCUCUUCUGAAAUGCAUNGGCUUGCGGUCGACUUUCGACUAUGUGCGACAAGGCUUUCGGCGUGAUAAUGAUCGCCGUUCGCUGAAGCGCAUGACUGAACGUCCCGUGCCUCUAAUAUGUCGACCGCUUAUUAUCUCUCCGGAGAGAACAGGGUCUUCCUUAUUGACUUUUGACCUC